rnacentral:lncRNA from 1 species
GUUCUCUUUCUAGAAUCUGAAGGUGUGACCUUCCCAUUCUUCUGUGACAAACCUGGUGCUGCCCAGCAGAGUGGAAAGAGCAUGUUUUUUUUUGUGAUGAACCUGCCUAACUCCUCACUGCCUAGCAGACAGCAGCUUUGGAAUGUCCAGCAGACACAGUCAAGACUGAACUCACUUCCUUCCUGCAGCCUGCUCCUCCGGCCUCUUCCAAGUCUCCACUGGUGAUACCACCUUCCGCUCCCUCACAGGGGGUCAUGGUGAAUGCCUCAGCUCCUUAACCCCCGUUAUGGAAGGCCUUUGGAAUUCACUCUCCUUUAAUGGGUCUCAUAUUCCCCCCUUUCUUUAUUUAUAUUGGUACUUCCUUAGUUUAAUUCAUCAAGAUCUUGGCCUUUGAAGGAGUUAUUUCCUUUCUGCACUGCCUUUCUUUUGUCUGCCCAGCAAAUCCCACCUGGUCCUCUCCUCCCCUAUCCGUGCUCAACGUCCCUUCCUGGGUGAAGCCUUCCUCACCCAACACAUAGCACUUGGGUUAUGGCCAGUUGAGUCUCCCAGCAGCAGGAGCCUUCAUGUCUCCAAUGGCCUCUGCUCCUAGCACGCCUGCUGGCACCCACAGGUGUUUAUGGAAUUGACUCAGUGUCUAGGAAAAUAUGCAUUUAUUUCAAAAAAUACGUAGUAAAAUAAAAAUUAGAUUCAAGAAAACAUCCCUAUAAAUUUUGGUCUGUGAUAGUGCCAUACACAGUAAUGUUAUCAGAACAUCUGUCAUUGGUCAAGGCUGAGGAGGAAGCUCUGUUUUGAUCAGCAUCUUGGACCACCAGUGAUGAAGACUUUCACUCACUGAAGUCCACAUUCUUUCUGCUGGGGGAAAAUCCAGGUAGCUACAGGCCUCUGUCUGGCAGGGGUGUGCAACGGUGAGUGGUGAGGCAGCAUCCUGACCCAGAGACCAGUUGGUUGCCCUGCACUCUGACAGGGAGGUGGGACCCUGGCCACAUGAAUCGCCUGCCAUGACCCCAGGCCCCCUUCACUGUAUCCCCUGCUGUGUGCUUCCUCUCUGCCUGCUCGCCUGUGCCAGCCCCACUUGGCUUGUGCUCCUGAGACCUCUUCUUCUCUCCUUCAUGCUUUCAACUUGCAGGAAGCUUCCUGCCCGCUCAGUGGUCACCGUAAGAUUGGUUCCCAGAGAGUCAGCCCUUUGGUGGCAAACAGAGGGGCUGGAGGAGGGGAGGGUCUGCUCCCUGCAUUCAGGGCUGCCUCUGCCUGGGACCCACGCUCCUGGGGUCCUGGACUUGCCCUUCACCUCUCCUCUCAUUCUCGCCCCUGGUGGCCCCUCAGCUGCUCCCUGGGUUUUACCCUUGGUACCUGAUAUAGUUCGGCUAUUUCCCCACCCAAAUCUCAUCUUGAAUUCCGACGUGUUGUAAGAGGGACCUGGUGGGAGGCAAUUGAAUUACGAGGGCAGGUCUUUCCCAUGCUGUUCUCUUGAUAGUGAAUAAGUCUCAUGAGAUCUUACAGUAUUGUAAGGGGGAAUUUCCUUGCCCAAUUUCUCCCUCUUUGCCUGCUGCCAUCCACGGAAGACGUGACUUGCUCCACCUUGCCUUCUGCCAUGAUUGUGAGGCUUCCCUUGCCACGUGGAACUUGAGAAAGUACUGGCAGGAGAAUUACUGUGAAGAAGUUGUGUAAUAA